rnacentral:tRNA from 2 species
GAGGAGAUGGUGAAGCGGCUUAACACGGUAGGUUGCAACCCUAUUAUUCGUGGGUUCAAAUCCCACUCUUCUCU